rnacentral:rRNA from 1 species
UUAUCGGAGAGUUUGAUCCUGGCUCAGGACGAACGCUGGCGGCGUGCCUAAUACAUGCAAGUCGAGCGGACAGAUGGGAGCUUGCUCCCUGAUGUUAGCGGCGGACGGGUGAGUAACACGUGGGUAACCUGCCUGUAAGACUGGGAUAACUCCGGGAAACCGGGGCUAAUACCGGAUGGUUGUUUGAACCGCAUGGUUCAGACAUAAAAGGUGGCUUCGGCUACCACUUACAGAUGGACCCGCGGCGCAUUAGCUAGUUGGUGAGGUAACGGCUCACCAAGGCGACGAUGCGUAGCCGACCUGAGAGGGUGAUCGGCCACACUGGGACUGAGACACGGCCCAGAC